rnacentral:rRNA from 1 species
GAUCAGUGGCUACAGAACGAACGCUGGCGGCAGGCCUAACACAUGCAAGUCGAGCGAACCCUUCGGGGUUAGCGGCGGUCGGGUUAGUAACGCGUGGGAAUAUACCCUUUGGUACGGAAUAGCCUCGGGAAACUGAGAGUAAUACCGUAUGUGCCCUUCGGGGGAAAGAUUUAUCGCCAAAGGAUUAGCCCGCGUUGGAUUAGAUAGUUGGUGGGGUAAUGGCCUACCAAGUCUACGAUCCAUAGCUGGUUUGAGAGGAUGAUCAGCAACACUGGGACUGAGACACGGCCCAGACUCCUACGGGAGGCAGCAGUGGGGAAUCUUAGACAAUGGGCGCAAGCCUGAUCUAGCCAUGCCGCGUGGACGAUGAAGGCCUUAGGGUUGUAAAGUCCUUUCAGAUGGGAAGAUAAUGACGGUACCAUCAGAAGAAGCCCCGGCUAACUCCGUG